UGGGUUGGGCACUUUGAUGGCUGCUGUCUGAGCCCCCGCUUUCCCCAUGUCUUUCAGUGAGCUCUUCUGCCCAGCAGAGUACCUGGCAUUGACCAGCUCAGGUCCACGGUAGGAGAGCAGGUGUGAGCAGGCAUCUCCCCACCCUCUUCCCGGCAUGGAAGCAUGAGGUUCCUUUUCGACAUGUGUCCACCUUCUGUCCUCUAGAUGGUGAGACGGGAGGAAGACUUUGAUUGGGCCCAUUGGUCCUUGGUGGGUGUUUGUCAGGUGGGCAGCCCCUGGUGCGCUGAAGCUCUGGCACUUCCUGGCAUCAUGGUCUCCUGCACUGAGCUGUGUGAGCUCUUGUGCCCAGGCGGGCCCCUGUUCUUGAGCGGCAUAGAUGGUGAGACCGGAGGAAGACUUGGAUUGGGUCCACUGUUCCUGGGCCAGUGUCUGUCAGCCAGGUGCCCAGCCCCCAGUGCACUGAAGCUCAGGCCCUUCCCGGCGCCCUGGUCUCCUGCACUGAGCUUGGUGAGCACAUCCGGGUCCUGCUGGAUACAUGCACAAGGAGGGGGAUGUCUUAGGUUGGGUCAAUGA
rnacentral:lncRNA from 1 species